CGUAGCGUGUUCCACACGAACAUCUCAAAUUUAAUUACAAAAGGAAAACAGAUUUUUAGUUUUAAUUCGCAAAGAUGACACCGUUGUUAAAUUUAAUAAUUCUUUCGAUAUUGUGCCAUGUGGUUCACACGCAUCCAUUUUCUGAAUUUUCAGAAACCAACAUCAUUACUGAUACGUGCGCGAAAAAUGGAUUGUUAUUAACCACUGCUCGUUCUAGAAUAGAUUGUGGUACCUCUUGUAGUGCGAAUCCUGAAUGUCGACGAUACGUAUUUUGUUUUUCUGAUUCAACAUGUACAUUAUAUCAGGACGGCACUGAUUGUGUUCUUGCUGGAGAUUCGUCUAGCUGUACUUGUUAUAGGAAGAAUAUUGGACGGAAUUUAGAUGCUACUACCACAUGUCCCAUGGGAUACUACGAUAACUGCCAGAGUGUUGUCAAAGACUGUGGUGAAGCGUUUGAUAAAGAUAUGCAGUUGAAUUUUGUGAACAAAUACAUACUGACAUACAUAAAACCAGUGAUGUCACCAGCACCAUUUGAGGUUAAAUGUGUAUUAAAUUCUGGUGGACAG